rfam:Nitrospirae bacterium RBG_19FT_COMBO_42_15 rbg_19ft_combo_scaffold_2427, whole genome shotgun sequence.
GAUCGGGCCUUGCGCAACAGGAGGUUACAAACCCCGUCAGGUCCGGAAGGAAGCAGCGGUAAGUAAUUCAAAUGUGUGCCGCAGGAAGCCUGAUCUCC